rnacentral:rRNA from 1 species
UACGGAGGGAGCUAGCGUUGUUCGGAAUUACUGGGCGUAAAGCGCGCGCAGGCGGUCAGAGGCGUCGGUGCUCAAAGUCCACCGCUUAACGGUGGGAGGCGUGCCGGUACGCUCUGACUGGAGGGCGGGCGAGGGUGGUGGAAUUGCCGGUGUAGUGGUGAAAUGCGUAGAGAUCGGCAGGAACACCAGUGGCGAAGGCGGCCACCUAGCCCGCACCUGACGCUGAGGCGCGACAGCGUGGGGAGCGAACUGG